GGGUGGGCUCUGGCCUCUGUGGGGCCUGCACCACGGCCCAGGUGCUGUCAGCCAGGGAUGAAGUCAGCUUUGGAGGAGGUGAUGCCGUGCUAAAAAUUGGCAAAAGCAAAUCUCCCUGGGAGCCACAGAUGGAGAAGACAUGAAGACAAAAUCUUGGAGCACACAUUUUAAAUGUACCCAGGCCCCCUCUCCCAUAUUACAUCGCUGACAAAAUUCUUGGAUAACAUUAGUCUGACGGCAAAAUGUAUAAAAUAGAAUUGAUUAUUAA